AGAAGAGGACAUUAUCUGGAGAUUUUAUUUCAUUAGAUUUGGGGUUUGUUUGUCUUUCAAAUCUGCAACUGUUUCAGUACUUGCACGGCUAUUAAGGACUGCAGGACACCAUUAACGUACAUUGCAUAGCUUCCUUUUGAUGCCUGGAUAGCCGGUGCCGAAGAAAGCACUGUCCCAUCAGGAUAAAGUAAGAUAGGAGGGAAAAAGGUCAUUGGCAAAUGUAGGGCCGCACUUUGUGAGAUGUGAUUUAGGGAUAAACAUAAAUCUGAUUCUACAGAGAUUCCAAGGAGUGCCCUGUCCAAUACAUUGCUGUGUGGGGCAUAAGCAAUCCAAUUUUGAACUAUUCAUGUCGAUCAUCUAUGUCAUGAUUCGUCUCGAGAACUGGAAACAAUCAAAUUUGAAGCAGUAGCUGCCAUACCAUGUUUGUGGCUGGCCAAGAACUUCUAUGGCUUAUGUUUGUACCGUCUCGCCCAGAAGAGAUGUGGAAGAAAUUGACAGAGGUGAGAAUGCAGAGCAACCGGUAGAAUAGAUCCAGACGUUGGUGAUUCAGAUUGUUUUGAGAAGGCCAACCCACUCCGCUACCAAAUUCCUGGCUUAAUCUAUCCACCCCAAAAAACUGAGAAAGUACCCAAAGGAUGUGGAGCACCAGGACAGAGAGGUGGACAAGGGUUUCAUUCCUGGGGGAGCUUGGCUGUAGAAAAAUUGCAGAAGCCCGGCCAAGGCUAACAUAUCGGCAAUGUCCAGUACCAGAAAUUGCCAUCCCAGCCACAUUACAGAAAUGGGCAGUGGCUGGGCUGUGUCAACGAGGGCAUGGUCUGUGGCCACUCGCUUGCUUUUCAUUUUUACCACCGUCGCCACACCCAUGGCCACUGCCGACCUCUGCAACUGGGUUAUUCCGCUUUUUUGCCCUGUGAUUUGCUGUGUAAAGGGCACAAAUGCGCGCUCGUAAAGAGGCACCAGAAUCAUCAUAAAUAGCAGAGGAAUUGCAGUGAGAGAGGUGGCUCCAAUUUGUGCAGGGACCUGUUCAUGCUACUUCCUUGCUGCACCGAGAAGGUCUGUAGCUGUGCCAGGCAGCAAUUCAUCAUUAGCGUGCUUGCAAAAAUGGGUAAUACUCUUAUCACUAGUUUUGUUUCCUCCACUUGCGUCACAGUGCACACCCUCCACCGGCUUCUUUUGCUUGUAAUGUCCCCACCUAAUGUAGCCUUGUCCAGAAACCUGCUCGGGUUAUAAGAUCCACUCGCGGUUUUAUUAUUUUUAUCGUAAUCGAACCAGAAUAUUUUUCACAAUGAGAAUGGGUAUUGAAGGGUAAGAAAGAAAACGAAUUUUGGUGCCAAAAUUGGUCUCUUGGCUAAGAAGCUACCUAAUCAGGAAAUGUGGAGUCUGUGACGGGGGAAUUGUGCAACGGGAGCAUUCGGUUUUUCAUAGCAGCUACCACCUACAGAAGAGAAAGACAUACAGAAAUUGCAAUCCUAGGUUAUACUGCACCCACACAAUUAGGGUUACCGCUAAGAGACCUCCCACAGAGACUGAAGAAGUAGAGGUUGAAGAAUGUGGAAAGGAGCCUUUUUUGCAGAGGGUUGUUGCCCUAACUGUCGAACUGGUCCGCCCCUAAUGCUACCAUAUACAAUCCCGUGUAAAGCAUGCCUGCCUGCCCUGCGUUUGGAUGCUCGCUACUGCCUGCCUCUGGUUUCAUUUUAGGUAUCUGAGCUUGCACUGUCAACAUUAUUAGCCCCUGACAAACGCAAUCCAUAUACCAUUAAUCCAUAUAGAUAUGUGGAUGGUGGUGCUCAAUAAAUAUUACCAAAUCGCUACCAUUAUCGUGGGCCUGAAGAAACUCACAUCUAUCAGUGAAACUCAUGCUAGGUACUUUCAAAUGCUGGUUUAGCUACAGAUAUAACAAGCGCAGUUAUCUCUGAACCAGAGAAUAAUAGAAGAAUCAAUCUUCAGUGGGACUUGCAAAAUAACACAUACAACUAUAACUUUCAUCUACAUAAACUGCCCUCCACCCUACAGCAAAUCCAAGAAAAUUGAACCUACCAUCACUAUCUUUUGUGAUGUUUGAUUUUCCACUAAACCACAUCAGCUAAAGUUGGGGUUGCUGGAGACAAAAAGAAUUCCAAUUGCCUGUCCAGAAAUAGAGUUGCUCAACUUCUAGAAGGAAGUGAAAGCAGCAGCUUCAACUUGCAUGGUAAAUGGUUGGUGAGGGAAUAAAGCAUCCUGCCAAUUGUUUGCUUUUUUAUCUCCAUUGGUAUUUUUCUUUCGCUUUCUACCCAUCAUUUUUGACCAAUAUCUUUGCGUGUUAAACUUGGUUCUACUUACUUUAUUUAUUCUGUUCAAUCCUUGCAGAAACAAUAAAUGGAAAGAAAAAGAGAUCCUGUAGACCCAUUCCUUAAACGACGAUGCAAAGCUCAUUUCAUACGAUUCCCAAUGAUAUUUACUGAUUAUCAUAUCUAUAUUUACUGAUUGUUAAUCUGUAUAUACUGAUCAUCAUGACAAUGCCCUGUGAUUCACACUGUUAACUACACAUACAUUUCAGUCAUGGCAUUUUCUGACAUGGUCUUGCAGCAAAAGCAUCUUAUUAAUAUAGAAUUACUUUACCUA